AUUGAACGCUGGCGGCAGGCCUAACACAUGCAAGUCGAGCGGAUGAAGGGAGCUUGCUCCUGGAUUCAGCGGCGGACGGGUGAGUAAUGCCUAGGAAUCUGCCUGGUAGUGGGGGAUAACGUCCGGAAACGGGCGCUAAUACCGCAUACGUCCUGAGGGAGAAAGUGGGGGAUCUUCGGACCUCACGCUAUCAGAUGAGCCUAGGUCGGAUUAGCUAGUUGGUGGGGUAAAGGCCUACCAAGGCGACGAUCCGUAACUGGUCUGAGAGGAUGAUCAGUCACACUGGACCUGAGACCCGGUCCAGACUCCUACGGGAGGCAGCAGUGGGGAAUAUUGGACAAUGGGCGAAAGCCUGAUCCAGCCAUGCCGCGUGUGUGAAGAAGGUCUUCGGAUUGUAAAGCACUUUAAGUUGGGAGGAAGGGCAGUAAGUUAAUACCUUGCUGUUUUGACGUUACCAACAGAAUAAGCACCGGCUAACUUCGU
rnacentral:rRNA from 1 species